UACGUAGGUGGCAAGCGUUGUCCGGAUUUACUGGGCGUAAAGAGCGCGCAGGCGGUCGUUCAAGUCGCGUGUGAAAGCCCCCGGCUCAACUGGGGAGGGUCACGCGAUACUGAUCGACUCGAAGGCAGGAGAGGGUAGUGGAAUUCCCGGUGUAGUGGUGAAAUGCGUAGAUAUCGGGAGGAACACCAGUGGCGAAGGCGGCUCUCUGGGCCUUUCCUGACGCUGAGACGCGAAAGCGUGGGGAGCGAACCGG
rnacentral:rRNA from 1 species